rnacentral:rRNA from 1 species
UCUGAUCUGCUCAAUGAUUAAAAAUUAAAUAGCUGCAGUAUUUUAACUGUACUAAGGUAGCAUAAUCAUUUGUCUUUUUAUUAAAGUCUAGAAUGAAUGAUUUAAUGAAAAAAUUUCUGUCUCAAAUUAAUUUAUAAAAUUUUAUUUUAAGUUAAAAUUCUUAAAAUUUAUUUAAAGACGAGAAGACCCUAUAGAAUUUUAUAAAAUUUUUUAUUUUUAUUUUAUAAAUUAUUAAAAUUAAUUUAAAUUUUAUUUUAUUGGGGUAAUAAAAAAAUUUAAUUAAAUUUUUUUAAUAAUUUUUCAUAAAUUAAUGUAUUUAUUUUAUCCAAAUUAUUUUGAAAUAAAAAUUAAUUACCUUAGGGAUAACAGCGUAAUUUUUUUAAAAAGUUCAUAUUGAUAAAAAAGUUUGCGACCUCGAUGUUGAAUUAAGAUAAAAUUUUAAUGUAGAAAUUAAAAAU